UACGUAGGUGACAAGCGUUUGUCCGGAUUUACUGGGCGUAAAGAGCGCGCAGGCGGUCGUUCAAGUCGAGUGUGAAAGCCCCCCGGCUCAACUGGGGAGGGUCAUUCGAUACUGAUCGACUCGAAGGCAGGAGAGGGAAGUGGAAUUCCCGGUGUAGUGGUGAAAUGCGUAGAUAUCGGGAGGAACACCAGUGGCGAAGGCGGGCCCCCCUGGUUGGAUACUGACGCUGAGACGCG
rnacentral:rRNA from 1 species